UAAGACAGAGGUGGCGAGCGUUGUUCGGAAUUACUGGGCUUAAAGGGCGCGUAGGCGGUGGAGUAAGUCUGAGGUGGAAUGCCACAGCCCAACUGUGGAACUGCCUUGGAAACUGCCUCACUUGAGUUAGACAGGGGAAGGCGGAAUUCCUGGUGUAGCGGUGAAAUGCGUAGAUAUCAGGAGGAAGGCCAGUGGUGAAGACGGCCUUCUGGGUCUUAACUGACGCUGAGGCGCGAAAGCGUGGGGAGCAAACAGGAUUAGAUACCCUGGUAGUCCACGCCCUAAACGGUGGGCACUAGGUGUGGGAUUCGUAAGGGUUCCGUGCCGAAGGGAAACCAUUAAGUGCCCCGCCUGGGGAGUACGGCCGCAAGGUUGAAACUUAAAUGAAUUGACGG
rnacentral:rRNA from 1 species